AACGAACGCUGGCGGCAUGCCUAACACAUGCAAGUCGAACGAGACCUUCGGGUCUAGUGGCGCACGGGUGCGUAACGCGUGGGAACCUUCCCUUAGGUUCGGAAUAACUCCCCGAAAGGGGUGCUAAUACCGGAUAAUGUCUUCGGACCAAAGAUUUAUCGCCUUUGGAUGGGCCCGCGUUGGAUUAGCUUGUUGUUAGGGUAAAAGCCUACCAAGGCGACGAUCCAUAGCUUGUUUGAGAGGAAGAUCAGCGACACUGGGACUGAGAAGCGGCCCAGACUCCUACGGGAGGCAGCAGUGGGUAAUAUUGGACAAUGGGCGAAAGCAUGAUCCAGCAAUGACGCGUGAGUGAUGAAGGCCUUAGGGUUGUAAAGCUCUUUUAACCGGGAUGAUAAUGACAGUACCGGGAGAAUAAGCUCCGGCUAACUCCGUG
rnacentral:rRNA from 1 species